UAUGUUCGAACCAGAAUCUGAUCCUGAAGGAGGGGAGUCUCCUGCACUACCCGAGACUCAGAGAAUUCAGCAAGACGCUUCUGAAUGAUGCACAUGUGGAAAUUGUGCAACAAUGCCGUCAGAGCCUGAGAACUUAUGCUGCCAGGAGGUACCACAGGUUACAAGACGGCUGCAGCAGCUGGAUGAAAGGCCUCCAUGUAUGAUAGGCAAACAGGUUUUAAACCUG